ACUGCGGUGGUGUAAUGGUUAGCAUUUCUGCCUAGCAAGCAAGAAGACCCAGGUUCGAGUCCUGGCCACAGCA
rnacentral:tRNA from 1 species